rnacentral:lncRNA from 1 species
GGAAAUUACAGUUAGAGGUCACAACUGCCCGAAGCCAGUUCUAAAUUUUUAUGAAGCCAAUUUCCCUGCAAAUGUCAUGGAUGUUAUUGCAAGACAGAAUUUCACUGAACCCACUGCUAUUCAAGCUCAGGGAUGGCCAGUUGCUCUAAGUGGAUUGGAUAUGGUUGGAGUGGCACAGACUGGAUCUGGGAAAACAUUGUCUGUAAGUUUGGGAGAACUCUUGAGUUGAUCUGAUAUAUGCAAGAAAAUGUAAUGGUAAUUUAAAAACGAGUAUUUUAAUGUGAUUUCUGUUUGUCCCCACUUUCACCCUAAAUAGUAUUUGCUUCCUGCCAUUGUCCACAUCAAUCAUCAGCCAUUCCUAGAGAGAGGCGAUGGGCCUAUUGUAAGUAUAUAUUUUUAACUUUUUAUUAGAAGCAUAAUGUGUAGAUUUUAGACUACAUAGCUAAAGAUGUAAUCAUUUGUGGU